rnacentral:tRNA from 1 species
GCCUGGGUGGCUCAGUGGUUAGGCAUCUGACUUCUGCUCAGGUCACGACCUAGUGGUCUGUGAGUUCAAGUCCCACAUUGGGCU